rnacentral:rRNA from 1 species
UGGGGAAUUUUGGACAAUGGGGGAAACCCUGAUCCAGCCAUCCCGCGUGUGCGAUGAAGGCCUUCGGGUUGUAAAGCACUUUUGGCAGGAAAGAAACGUCAUGGGUUAAUACCCCGUGAAACUGACGGUACCUGCAGAAUAAGCACCGGCUAACUACGUGCCAGCAGCCGCGGUAAUACGUAGGGUGCAAGCGUUAAUCGGAAUUACUGGGCGUAAAGCGUGCGCAGGCGGUUCGGAAAGAAAGAUGUGAAAUCCCAGAGCUCAACUUUGGAACUGCAUUUUUAACUACCGGGAUAGAGUGUGUCAGAGGGAGGUGGAAUUACGCGUGUAGCAGUGAAAUGCGUAGAUAUGCGGAGGAACACCGAUGGCGAAGGCAGCCUCCUGGGAUAACACUGACGCUCAUGCACGAAAGCGUGGGGAGCAAACAGG